GCGUCUGCUUCGCCCGGGGCCCAACGGUAGGCCCAGAGCCGUUCGGACGCCCGGCCCGGGGGAGCUGCGGCUGAGGGCCCCUGACCUUCCCUCGCCCCGUGUUCCGGUGCGGUUUCUUUCGUAGGGGCUUUGUCGCUUUGUAUGCGUCCGUCAGAAAUAGGAUGUCGUUUCUCACAGCAAAAAGCUUUCUAAGGAGAAUGAGAAACAGCUCUCUGACAUGACGACGCUGAACAAGCAAAAGGGAGACUUGAAAGCUUUGAGCAAAGAGAAGAGGGGAAAAAAAAAAAAGCUGGAAGUCU